GGGUACAUGGUCUGGUGGUAUGAUUUUCGCUUAGCAUUCUACUUCGGCUGCUGGUCGAUAAACAGCGGUCGUGGAGUUCUAGAGUCUUGUGAAAGGUCCCCCGGUUCAAUCCCGGGUGUAUCUA